rnacentral:rRNA from 1 species
UAUCUCUGUAGAGUCUGCAUAUCAAUAAGCGGAGGAAAAGAAACUAACUAAGGAUUCCCUCAGUAACGGCGAGUGAAGCGGGAAGAGCUCAAAUUUGAAAUCUUCAAGGUUCUGACCUUGACGAAUUGUAGUUUAAAGAAGUGUUUUCGGUUAGAGGAGUUUGGUAAAAGUUCUUUGGAAUAGGACAUCAUAGAGGGUGAGAAUCCCGUAUUUGACCAUUAUUUCUAGCUUUGUGAUACACUUUCAAAGAGUCGGAUUGUUUGGGAAUGCAGUCCAAAAUGGGUGGUAAAUUUCAUCUAAAGCUAAAUAUUGGCGAGAGACCGAUAGCGAACAAGUACCGUGAGGGAAAGAUGAAAAGAACUUUGAAAAGAGAGUUAAACAGUACGUGAAAUUGUCAAAAGGGAAGCGUUUGACACCAGUGUUGUUUUUCCGAAAAUCAAUUAAAAAUGGAUUCAUGCUAAGUUGUAUUGACCUUAUCAGCUUGCAAUUUAGUUUUGGGUUUCUUUUUGAUGCACUUUUCGGUUAACAAGUCAACAUCAAUUUCCUUUGCUGUAAAAAGGCAGGAGGAAGGUGGCUUCAAUUUCGGUUGAAGUGUUUAUAGCCUUCUGUCUCUGCAGUCGGGGAGAUUGAGGUCUGCAGCGUAGAUCCUUCGGGGCUAGAUACAUUCGUGCUAAGUUAUAGCCUUUUAUAGACAACUUGUUGACUAUGAUUGGUCUUGUAAUUUACUCGCGAGUGCUAUUUUACCUACGCUUAGGAUGUUGAUCUACAGAGCGAGAGU